rnacentral:rRNA from 1 species
GGCUCAGAUUGAACGCUGGCGGCAGGCCUAACACAUGCAAGUCGAACGGUAACAGGAAGCAGCUUGCUGCUUCGCUGACGAGUGGCGGACGGGUGAGUAAUGUCUGGGAAACUGCCUGAUGGAGGGGGAUAACUACUGGAAACGGUAGCUAAUACCGCAUAACGUCGCAAGACCAAAGAGGGGGACCUUCGGGCCUCUUGCCAUCGGAUGUGCCCAGAUGGGAUUAGCUAGUAGGUGGGGUAACGGCUCACCUAGGCGACGAUCCCUAGCUGGUUUGAGAGGAUGACCAGCCACACUGGAACUGAGACACGGUCCAGACUCCUACGGGAGGCAGCAGUGGGGAAUAUUGCACAAUGGGCGCAAGCCUGAUGCAGCCAUGCCGCGUGUAUGAAGAAGGCCUUCGGGUUGUAAAGUACUUUCAGCGGGGAGGAAGGGAGUAAAGUUAAUACCU